GGAGCGGAUGAGGCCUGGUGGCCUCUGCGGACUUCAACUCCGUUGGUGGCAGUCCUUCGACUGGCAUGGUGGGUUCGACUCCCUCGCGCUCCC
rnacentral:tRNA from 1 species